CCUACGGGCGGCAGCAGUGGGGGAUAUUGGACAAUGGGGGAAACCCUGAUCCAGCGACGCCGCGUGAGUGAAGAAGUAUUUCGGUAUGUCAAGCUCUAUCAGCAGGGAAGAAAGAAAUGACGGUACCUGAGUAAGAAGCCCCGGCUAACUACGGGCCAGCAGCCGCAGUACUCCGUAGGGGGCAAGCGUUAUCCGGAAUUACUGGGGGUACAGGGAGCGUAGACUGUAAGGCAAGUCUGGAGUGAAUGGCGGGGGGCCAACCCCCGGACUGCUCUGGAAACUGUGUAACUGGGGUGCAGGAGAGGCAGGCGGAAUUCCUAGUGUAGCGGUGAAAUGCGUAGAUAUUAGGAGGAACACCAGUGGCGAAGGCGGCCUGCUGGACUGUAACUGACGCUGAGGCUCGAAAGCGUGGGGAGCAAACAGGAUUAGAUACCCCUGUAGUC
rnacentral:rRNA from 1 species